rnacentral:rRNA from 1 species
GAUAAACGCUGGCGGCGCACAUAAGACAUGCAAGUCGAACGGACUUAACUCAUUCUUUUAGAUUGAGAGCGGUUAGUGGCGGACUGGUGAGUAACACGUAAGCAACCUGCCUAUCAGAGGGGAAUAACAGUGAGAAAUCAUUGCUAAUACCGCAUAAGCUAGUAGUAUCGCAUGAUAUAGCUAGAAAAGGAGCAAUCCGCUGAUAGAUGGGCUUGCGUCUGAUUAGCUAGUUGGUGGGGUAACGGCCUACCAAGGCGACGAUCAGUAGCCGGACUGAGAGGUUGAACGGCCACAUUGGGACUGAGAUACGGCCCAG